rnacentral:rRNA from 1 species
AUCGAUGAAGAACGCAGCGAAAUGCGAUAAGUAAUGUGAAUUGCAGAAUUCAGUGAAUCAUCGAAUCUUUGAACGCACCUUGCGCCCUCUGGUAUUCCGGAGGGCAUGCCUGUUUGAGUGUCAUUAAAUUCUCAACUUCAAUAGCUUUUACUAGCUUAUUGAUGCUUGGAUGUGGGAGCUUGCUGGCGUCUUAGAUGUUCGGCUCUCCUUAAAGUUAUUAGUGGAAACCUUUUUGUUAGGUUAUUCCUGGUGUGAUAAUUAUCUACGCUUUGAAUAAUCUAAUGUUCCAUUGGGACUUGAGAUUUCUCAGUAGAAAUACUGGUCUGGGUAUUGCAAUUAAUUUUGCUGUAUCUGUAGUCUCUCAGUAGCAAUACUGGUUUUGGCAUUGCAAUUAAGUUUGCUUUACCUGUAGUCUCAGAGGGAAAAGGGAAGUUCUGCUUUCUAACCGUCUAUGUAUAUGGACAAUUUAUUGACUAUUUGACCUCAAAUCAGGUAGGACUACCCGCUGAACUUAAGCAUAUCAAUAAGCGGAGGAAAAGAAACUAACAAGGAUUCCCCUAGUAACUGCGAGUGAAGAGGGAAAAGCUCAAAUUUAAAAUCUGGCAGUCUUUUGAUUGUCCGAGUUGUAAUUUAGAGAAGUGUUACCCGUGUUGAACCGUGUACAAGUUUCCUGGAAUGGAACGUCAUAGAGGGUGAGAAUCCCGUCUUUGACACGGAUCCCAAUGCAUUGUGGUACAUUUUCGAAGAGUCGAGUUGUUUGGGAAUGCAGCUCUAAAUGGGUGGUAAAUUCCAUCUAAAGCUAAAUAUUGGGGAGAGACCGAUAGCGAACAAGUACCGUGAGGGAAAGAUGAAAAGAACUUUGGAAAGAGAGUUAAACAGUACGUGAAAUUGCUAAAAGGGAAACGCUUGAAGUCAGUCGCGUUGUCCAGGGAUCAGCCUUCCUUUUUGGUUGGUGUACUUCCUGGUUGACGGGUCAGCAUCAGUUUUGGUCGGUGGAUAAAAGUGAGAGGAAUGUGGCAUCUUCGGGUGUGUUAUAGCCUUUUAUUGUAUACAUCGGCUGGGACUGAGGAACUCAGCACGCCGCAAGGCCGGGUUUUUAACCACGUUCGUGCUUAGGAUGCUGGCAUAAUGGCUUUAAUCGACCCGUCUUGAAACACGG